GAUGAACGCUGACAGAAUGCUUAACACAUGCAAGUCGAUGGGGAAGUGGUGCUUGCACCAUGGUAACCAUGGCGGACGGGUGAGUAACGCGUAAGGAACUUACCUGCGGGACCGGGAUAACAGCAGGAAACUGCUGACAAGACCGGAUAAGGUCAUUAAGCUGCAUAGCUUAGUGAUGAAAGGAGACGCCUGCGGAGAGCCUUGCGUCCUAUUAGCUAGUUGGAGGGGUAACGGCCCACCAAGGCGAAGAUAGGUAGCCGGCCUGAGAGGGUGGACGGCCACAAGGGGACUGAGAUACGGCCCUUACUCCUACGGGAGGCAGCAGUGGGGAAUAUUGGACAAUGGGGGCAACCCUGAUCCAGCAAUUCUGUGUGCACGAAGACGGUUUUCGGAUUGUAAAGUGCUUUCAGCAGGGAAGAAGGAAGUGACGGUACCUGCGGAAGAAGCGACGGCUAAAUACGUG
rnacentral:rRNA from 1 species